AACGAACGCUGGCGGCAGGCUUAACACAUGCAAGUCGAACGCAUCCUUCGGGGUGAGUGGCAGACGGGUGAGUAACGCGUGGGAACGUGCCCUUCAGUUCGGGAUAACCCAGGGAAACUUGGGCUAAUACCGGAUACGUGCGAGAGCAGAAAGAUUUAUCGCUGAAGGAUCGGCCCGCGUCUGAUUAGCUAGUUGGUGGGGUAAUGGCCCACCAAGGCGACGAUCAGUAGCUGGUCUGAGAGGAUGAUCAGCCACAUUGGGACUGAGACACGGCCCAAACUCCUACGGGAGGCAGCAGUGGGGAAUAUUGGACAAUGGGCGCAAGCCCGAUCCAGCCAUGCCGCGUGAGUGAUGAAGGCCUUAGGGUUGUAAAGCUCUUUCGUCCGGGACGAUAAUGACGGUACCGGAAGAAGAAGCCCCGGCUAACUUCGUGCCAGCAGCCGCGGUAACAC
rnacentral:rRNA from 1 species